GAUGAACGCUGGCGGCGUGCCUAAUACAUGCAAGUCGAGCGAACGGACGAGAAGCUUGCUUCUCUGAUGUUAGCGGCGGACGGGUGAGUAACACGUGGAUAACCUACCUAUAAGACUGGGAUAACUUCGGGAAACCGGAGCUAAUACCGGAUAAUAUUUUGAACCGCAUGGUUCAAAAGUGAAUGACGGUCUUUCUGUCACUUAUAGAUGGAUCCGCGCUUCAUUAUCUAGUUGGUAAGGUAACGGCUUACCAAGGCAACGAUGCAUAUCCGACCUGAGAGGGGGAGCGGCCAAACAGGAACUGAGACACGGAACAGACUCCUACGGGAGGCAGCAGAAGGGAAUCUUCCGCAAUGGGGGAAAGCAUGACGGAGCAACGCCGAGUGAGUGAAGAAGGUCUUCGGAUCGUAAAAAUCUGUUAAUAGGGAAGAAAAAAAGUGUAAGGAAAUGUGGACAGCGUGACGGUAACUAAUCAGAAAGCCACGGCUAACUACGUG
rnacentral:rRNA from 1 species